GUGGGGAAUAUUGCGCAAUGGGGGAAACCCUGACGCAGCGACGCCGCGUGGAGGAUGAAGGUUUUCGGAUUGUAAACUCCUUUUAGAGGGGAAGAAAACUAUAUUGUUAAUAACAAUAUAGCUUGACUGUACUCUCAGAAAAAGCCCCGGCUAACUCCGUGCCAGCAGCCGCGGUAAUACGGAGGGGGCAAGCGUUGUUCGGAAUUAUUGGGCGUAAAGGGCGCGCAGGCGGCAAUAUAAGUCAGACGUGAAAUCCCUCAGCUUAACUGAGGAAUUGCGUUUGAAACUGUAUUGCUUGAGUACAGGAGAGGAGAGUGGAAUUCCCAGUGUAGCGGUGAAAUGCGUAGAUAUUGGGAGGAACACCGGUGGCGAAGGCGGCUCUCUGGACUGUUACUGACGCUGAGGCGCGAAAGCAUGGGGAGCAAACGGGAUUAGAAACCCGAGUAGUCC
rnacentral:rRNA from 1 species